AUGAACGGUCAUAGGGGCCUGGUAUACCCGAUCCCAUUUCGAACUCGGAAGUCAAGCAGACCCGCGUUCUUAGGAGUACUGCACUUAGGUGUGGGAAAUUAAGAUAGCUGUUCAUC
rnacentral:rRNA from 1 species